AUGCAUUCCAGCAGCUUCUAGCUGAGGGCAAAGCAGGCAGCAUUAAUCCAUUGCAGUAGAGCUCCCACAUGUCUUAAAAUAUACAGUAGCUGAAUGUCAAGAAUUACCACUUUGUGAAUAAACAUGCACAGAAUUUUGAAGAUUAAUGUGAAGGUUAAUCUAAAGCACAGAUCUCUUCCAAGAACUCACUCUGUGAAACAAACCACAAAGGUGUUAGAAGUCCUGUGAACAAGUAGAGAAUCUGAAAGGAUGGAAGACAUUUCAGAGGUCCAUUAGAGCCUGCCCACCUUCUGAAGAGGGAAACUGGUUAAAUCUGUGAUAGGACCAGACUGGACUGGGCUGUGGGAAGCAGGCACAAAGGAACACAUACUUCCUGGCAUUACCAGGAGGGAAGGAGAGGGAUAGCUGCUGCUGGACUUCGGCAGCAGGCUCUGCACAUCCCCUCACCCUUUGGC